rnacentral:lncRNA from 1 species
GGCUGACAGAAAUAACGAGAAGGAGCAAGUUGUGCUGAUCAUGGCCUCCUACCUACUGGUCUGCAAAUGGGGCCUACACCAUGCUGAGUUGCUUCUGAGCACACAAUUCUGCUGAUGCUGACCACCAUUGACUGUGUUAGCUGCUUCGUUAUUCCAGGAAUGUGUCUGGAGAAUAGGAGAAGGAAUAAGGCCCACAAAUCCCCUGGAAUUGUGUGAAGGACGGACUACUCCUGCUCCACUGGAACUUGUGGUCUACAGAUGUCCCCAACAAGACAACACCUUCACAGAACAUCAGGCAAGGGAUUGUACUGGAAGUUUCACCAGCUUCUGCCAGCUAAGAGGAACAAGGAAUCAGGACAGCAGUUGAACCUGCAGUAGUCAUGCCAUAUAAUUGACUGAUGAAGACGAGGGCAGCUUUUCUAUCUCGUAAGGGAGCAAACAUUGGACCCUCCAUGUCUCUGAAGCCCCACCAGUUAUAUGCAGUCAAUGGGUGCCCCGAAGGAAAGAUUUGGUCUUCCUUGCCUGAGCUUGCCCUGCAAAAGGCUAUCGGUAAGAAAUAUUAUCCAAGUGACUGUGGUGUAAGUAAUGGCAUUCCUUACCCAAAGAUCACCCAAAAAAAUCAUUCUCUGUUCACGUUGAGAAGAAAGGGAAGGAAGGUGCAAAUGACUUUUGUUUCUGCUCUUUAUGUCAGAUACAGCUCACCUGUUCAUGAAGUACCAGAUAGACCUAUCGGAGUCACAGCAAUCUCUGGUUCCUGAGCUCUGCUUCAGUUUUGCAGGUGAAGUCUGAGACUGUGCUCAAACCAAUUUCUCCUUCCUUUACUAAAAGCACACGGUGAAAUGGUAUUCCCUUUCUGGAGGAGGAAAUGGGACAUUCCACUCCCUUGGCCUGGCAGCACUGGCCAGCUGCGCACAGCUGCGCACCAGCCCAACAGCAGAAAGUCCAAGUUCACCCUUCCUAAGGAAGGAUCGAUGCCUUCGGCUCAAGCCAAGCUGGCAGCCACCAACAGAGAGAAGCAGCACAAAUGGUAGCAGACCCCGCAUAUGGGAGCCACGCUUUCACCAUCACCAUUGCUCCAUCACUGAACUAGAGAGGCUUUCAUGCAGACAAAACUUAAGGUAAGCCUGGGCACUCCCUACUUCAAUGCCCACAGUAGGUGAGCCUCGCUUGUGAUCCUGUGAGCAAAGAAUGAGUCUCCUCUUUCAGUGCUCCUUAUUUUUGUCUGUGCCUUCAAAGAUAGGCAGUAGAGCGUGGGAUGAUUUGGAAACACAAAAGAUCAUCUGUGCUUUUUAACUAAGUGCCAUGCAUUUUAGGCUUCCCUGUAAAAUAUAAUGAUAGAUUUCUUCAAUAAUAAUUACAGUGGGAAAAAUGCUUCAUCCAAGUUGCAUAAGACUAGCUUUAUCCAGGCCUUUGGUUUUAUAAGAACUUAAUUGUAGACAAUCUAAGAAAGACCACAAGCUUUUGUUUAGUGAUAAGAAGGGUCAAAAAAUUUAAAGAAAACUCAAACCAAAAAUCCCUCUGUGAAGGCUCUUUUCAUCCACCACAGUGAACUAGCGAUUUUCACUGGAAUCAGCGUGUGGUUCUGUUAUCUUGUGGUGGGAAGAUAGGUCUCUGGGGAGAAUAGUAAGCUGCCUGAGCUUUUGAGUCGAGUGAUGGAAAAGAUGGCGUGUGAUUUUCAGAAUCUCUGACCAUAAUCCAUCUUUAAAUGUUCCCUUAGUUCUGAGCAGUUUGAAUUCCCUUAAUUGCAUGAUGGAUUUACAGUUGAACGUUUCUAAUAUAAUUGCCCCUAUUAUUGAAAACAAAGGAGACACGUGCCAGUCUGAAACAGCAAAGAUAUAGCCUCAAGGAAAGGGAUUAGUUCAUCUUUGUCUCUUCCCCUUGCACACGAACAUGCUGAUAUUUCUGCACAAAUCCCUUUCAACCUACUUGUCAGAGUAUUCAUUGUCUCUUGAUUUCCAGGACUGUAUUUUGGGCAUGUCUUUGGAAAGUCUUAUAGUGGUUGAAAAGUUCUUAAAUUCAUCAUCAUCAUCAUUACCAAAUGAAUGACAGGAAUUUAAACCUUAAUAUUGUGUAUGACAAGUGUAAAAAAGUACAUUUUAUUUAACAGUGUUUCUCAAGUAUUAGAAAACUGAAGUCCUAGAGGUCGUCAGACACAACCACCAGUCAUGCAUUUGGUAGAAUUGCUGUAUCUCAUUUAUAGACAGUGGAGUUUUAAUGUGAAUGACCAUUGCGUGAGGCAAUAAAUCUCUCUCAUUAGAUCCUCUCUUUGAAGUCCUUGUUGUGUUUGGGACAACUUGUCUGGAAGAUCCCGCAGACCUCACUUGUUCUCUCUCUCGAGAUAUCUCCAGAAUUAUUGUUGGGC